rnacentral:rRNA from 1 species
GGUUGAUCCUGCCAGUAGUCAUAUGCUUGUCUCAAAGAUUAAGCCAUGCAUGUCUAAGUACAAACCAUCUUAAGGUGAAACCGCGAAUGGCUCAUUAAAUCAGUUACGGUUCAUUGGAUGUUGACCGAUUACAUGGAUAACUGUGGUAAUUCUAGAGCUAAUACAUGCUGCAAAGCUUCGGCCGCAAGGUUGAGGCGCAUUUAUUAGACCAAGACCAAGGGGGUGCUUCGGUGCCUCUAAUGGUGGUGACUCUGGAUAACUUAGCCAAUCGCACGGCCUCGCGCCGGCGAUAU